UCUGUUGCAACGCUGUCUUUUUAAACUUAAAAUAAAACACUGAAGGAGACAAACAGCCAGAGGCACAGCAGAGCACGGAAAAGUAAACUGUCAUUCAUUUUGAUUCGUGUUAGCAAGGUAACAGGCUAGCUUAGCUCUACAGCUUUGUGAUAGAGAAGCGAGUUGUUCACCACGUGAAAUACUUUGUUCAUAUUUUCACGCGGAUAUCCAAAAAGGUUCUUCGUUUAUUUGGAAUGUGAUUUUUUUCAGGUGGACGUUUUCUCAGAACAGGUCAUCUCAUCCUGUGCAAGUUAGCUAAUGGUAACUAGUGUAGCUAGGUGAACUAAAUUAUUUAAAAGCUAGGGUUGCUAACUCGCGUUAGCACAUAGAAACUCGGAUUCCGUAAAACUACCUGCUCAGAAUUUUGUUUAAGAAAUCUCAGACAUGGCAGAGUGUUACAUUCGUGUGGCAGAAGAUGAAAAUGAGGAGCCGAUGGAGAUUCCAUCUGAAGACGACGGCACAGUUUUGUUAUCAACUGUAGCGGCACAGUUCCCCGGAGCCUGCGGCCUACGUUACCGGAGCCCGGUUUCUCAAUGCAUGAGAGGAGUUCGCUUGGUCGAAGGUGUAUUGCAUGCUCCCGAGGCCGACUGGGGCAAUUUGGUUUAUGUCGUCAAUUAUCCAAAAGACAACAAAAGGAAGAUGGACGAGAUGGACGCUGCUUCUGCGGUGAAGAUUAAACGGGGUAUUCAGAAAACAUCUGAUCUUAUUGUCCUGGGGUUGCCAUGGAAAACAUCUGAACAAGACCUUAAAGAUUACUUCAGCACAUUUGGAGAAGUUAUCAUGGUGCAAGUAAAGAGAGAUGUGAAAACCGGAAAUUCUAAAGGGUUUGGCUUUGUGAGAUUUACCGAUUAUGAGACUCAAGUCAAAGUGAUGUCCCAGAGGCACAUGAUAGAUGGAAGAUGGUGUGACUGUAAACUACCCAACUCAAAGUAUUUCCUGGAACAGGCUGGUCCAGACGAGCCUAUGAGGAGUAGAAAGGUGUUUGUGGGUCGUUGCACCGAGGACAUGACUGCCGACGAGCUGAGGCAGUUCUUCAUGCAGUACGGUGAAGUCACCGACGUCUUCAUCCCUAAGCCUUUCAGAGCCUUUGCCUUUGUCACGUUCGCAGACGACCAGGUUGCCCAGUCACUGUGUGGAGAGGAUCUGAUCAUUAAGGGCACCAGUGUGCACAUCUCUAACGCAGAACCUAAGCACAGCAAUAUUCAUCACCUCUUUUCCAAUUUCCCGGGAAGAAGCCCUUCUUUGGCCGCAAUGUUCGAGCGAUCACAGUAUCAGUACCCAUCUUCCCAUGUGUAAAUGCUUUGCCUUCAAAGAGCACAGCUUCACUCUGCAUAUACUGUGUUAGACGGGACGUUGGACAUCGCUGGCCCAGGUUUACAUCAGAACCCAGAGUGAAGUCAGUUUUGAGGAAGCUGAAGACCGGAGUUGGUGCAGUGUUGGUGGCCCCAACACAAUCCAACUGUGGAGGUGCUGCCGAAUGCCUUAGACCUGAAAAGGAACUUCUUCACUUCUUUCUAACAAGAGCCCUGGAAACCCUAUUGAAAUUUAAACGGACUAUUCCAAAUUGGCUGGAUCGUAUACCCAAAGAAACCCAGUCCAUAAAACAGGGCCCAAAAUGUUUUUACGGAUUGACCUCCCGUGAACCCUUUAGUCCACGUACAAGUGACUCUUACCUUCACGUAUUCUCUUUUUCUUUUCUGUUCUGUUAUUUCCAGCUCUGUGUUUCAUUCAAGACUUCUCCACGCAGUGAUAUUUCUUUUACGUAGAUGAUCUUUUUUUUGUUGUUGUUGUUGUGAAUUGCUUAGUCCCAGAAAACAUCAUUUUGUCAUUGUUAUUACAAAUAGUACGAUUUUAUGAGCUGAAAUGGCCUAUUUUUCCACAUUGUACAUCAUGCCUGUCUGUCAAAGUUAUGAUGUACCAGUCGUUCCGAUCAAUAAGAUGAUGUGAAGUGCAUCACAGGCUGUGAGGAGGGGACUGGCAGUGUAUGUCUUGAAUUCUUUUGGGAGGGUUUUUUGGCUUUUUUUUUUUUAAUGGCUAAUAAACUUGCCCACAGUAAUCAUAUCUCUUAAUGUAUUUUGAAUUUGCUCAAGUCUUAUUU